ACUCCCGAAAGGGAGCUUCCGCAAGGACACUCGUAGAGGUGCUGCAUGGCUGUCGUCAGCUCGUGUCGUGAGAUGUUGGGUUAAGUCCCGCAACGAGCGCAACCCUUGUCUUCUGUUGCCAUCAGGUUAUGCUGGGCACUCUGAAGAGACUGCCGGUGAUAAACCGGAGGAAGGUGGGGAUGACGUCAAGUCAGCAUGGCCUUUAUGUCUGGGGCCACACACGUGCUACAAUGGCAGAUACAAACCGUCGCGAGACCGCAAGGUGGAGCUAAUCGGAUAAAGUCUGUCUCAGUUCGGAUUGCAGGCUGCAACUCGCCUGCAUGAAGUUGGAAUCGCUAGUAAUCGCGGAUCAGCACGCCGCGGUGAAUACGUUCCCGGGCCUUGUACACACCGCCCGUCACAUCACGAAAGCCGGUUGUACUAGAAGUCGCCACACUAACCUGCAAGGGAGGGAGGCGCCUAAGGUAUGGUCGGUGAUUGGGGUGAAGUCGUAACAAGGUAAGCGUAGUGCU
rnacentral:rRNA from 1 species